rnacentral:rRNA from 1 species
AUUGAACGCUGGCGGCAUGCUUUACACAUGCGAGUCGAACGGCAGCGCGGGCUUCGGCCUGGCGGCGAGUGGCGAACGGGUGAGUAAUGCAUCGGAACGUGCCCAGUAGUGGGGGAUAGCCCGGCGAAAGCCGGAUUAAUACCGCAUACGACCUGAGGGUGAAAGCGGGGGACCGAAAGGCCUCGCGCUAUUGGAGCGGCCGAUGUCGGAUUAGCUAGUUGGUGGGGUAAAGGCUUACCAAGGCGACGAUCCGUAGCUGGUCUGAGAGGACGACCAGCCACACUGGGACUGAGACACGGCCCAGACUCCUACGGGAGGCAGCAGUGGGGAAUUUUGGACAAUGGGGGCAACCCUGAUCCAGCCAUGCCGCGUGCGGGAAGAAGGCCUUCGGGUUGUAAACCGCUUUUGUUCGGGAAGAAAUCCUCUGGGCUAAUACCCCGGGGGGAUGGCGGUACCGGAAGAAUAAGCACCGGCUAACUACGUG